rnacentral:rRNA from 1 species
GACGAACGCUGGUGGCGUGCUUAACGCAUGCAAGUCGAACGCGGUCCAUCCAGCUUGCUGGUGAAGACCGAGUGGCGAACGGGUGAGUAACACGUGAGGAGCCCACCCCGGAGACCGGGAUAACCCGCCGAAAGGAGAGCGAAUCCCGGAUGCCCUCAGCGGAUCGCAUGUUCUGUUGAGGAAAUGGAUUCCGCGCCGGGACGGCCUCGCGGCCUAUCAGCUUGUUGGGGGGGUAACGGCCCAUCAGGGCGUCGACGGGUAGCUGGUCUGAGAGGACGGUCAGCCACACUGGGACUGAGACACGGCCCAGACUCCUACGGGAGGCAGCAGCGGGGAAUAUUGCGCAAUGGGCGAAAGCCUGACGCAGCAACGCCGCGUGAGGGAUGAAGGCUUUCGGGUUGUAAACCUCUUUCAGCAGGGACGAUUGUGACGGUACCUGCAGAAGAAGCCCCGGCCAACUACGUGCCAGCAGCCGCGGUAAAAC